rnacentral:rRNA from 1 species
CCGGAGGAAGUGGGGAUGACGUCAAGUCCUCAUGGCCUUUAUGACCAGGGCUACACACGUACUACAAUGGCCGGUACAAAGGGCAGCGACACAGCGAUGUGAAGCCAAUCCCGAAAAGCCGGUCUCAGUCCGGAUUGGAGUCUGCAACUCGACUCCAUGAAGUUGGAAUCGCUAGUAAUCGCGGAUCAGCACGCCCGCGGUCCGAAUACGUUCCGGCCUU